rnacentral:rRNA from 2 species
UCCCUACGGGGUGCACCAGGCGCGAAAACUUUACCAUGCGGGCAACCGUGAUAAGGAAACCCCGAGUGCCAGCACAGGCUGGCUGUCCGCCAGUUUAAACAACUGGCGAAGAAAGGGCCGGGCAAGACCGGUGCCAGCCGCCGCGGUAAUACA